AUGAUGAAAAUCCAAAUUAAUUUCACUCUUGCAGUCUCGUCUUCUGAUUCUUUGUGUGUGUGUGAGAGUGCUUGAUUACAGAGGAGAGAUCAGGUGUGUGGGUGUCAGGCAGCAAGCUGCAAACCAUCUUCAAUCACCUCUGUUUUAAAUCUGUGCUUCAUCUCCACUGUGCUGUCAGAGCGCAGAAUCUGCUAAUCAAUCUUCCUGACCUGAUUUCUGCUUUUAUCCUGUCCCUGUAAAACCUGGAAACCUCUUGCCUCUGCACCUGUUCAGAACCUGGAUCUACGGACUCACUCCGCCUGGCUUUACCCCAUUCAGCUCUCCUGUCUGGUCCGGCUCAGUUCUCCAGCUCUCAGUUCUGCCCCUGUACUCCCAGGACACCCAGCUGCCCACCUACUCACAUCCUAGUAUUUUAUUAAUAAAUUUCUUGAGGCACUUG